rnacentral:sRNA from 1 species
GUGAAUGUAUAGCUCUGGGCAACUGAAAUCCUUUAUUUAACCCCAGAAGAGGUACAACACAGAGCUCAACAGUGUAAGCUUCCCCAUCUCUGCCCCAGUCUAUUUGCCUCAUUUCUGACCUGGAAGGAAGAAGAUUUUAAUUUGUGUAGACAAUUCAAAACUAUGGCUUAU